rnacentral:rRNA from 1 species
AACGAACGCUGGCGGCGUGCUUAACACAUGCAAGUCGAACGCGAAAGGGACUUCGGUCCUGAGUAAAGUGGCGCACGGGUGAGUAACGCGUAGAUAACCUGUCCUUGUGUUCGGGAUAAUAUGCCGAAAGGUGUACUAAUACCGGAUAUUCUUGUUUUUCACAAGGUAUGCAAGCAAAGGUGGUCUCUGAUAUAAGCUACUGCAUAAGGAGGGGUCUGCGUACCAUUAGCUAGUAGGUGGGGUAAUGGCCCACCUAGGCGACGAUGGUUAGCGGGUCUGAGAGGAUGAUCCGCCACACUGGCACUGGAACACGGGCCAGGCUCCUACGGGAGGCAGCAGUGAGGAAUAUUGCGCAAUGGGGGCAACCCUGACGCAGCGACGCCGCGUGAGUGAGGAAGGCCUUCGGGUCGUAAAGCUCUGUCAAAGGGAAAGAAGUGCAUGGUGGUUAAUACCCAUCAUGUUUGACGGUACCCUUAAAGGAAGCACCGGCUAACUCCGUGCCAGCCGCCGCGGUAACAC